GGAAGUAAAAGCGUAACAAGGUCUCCGUAGGUGAACCUGCGGAGGGAUCAUUACAGAGUUCAUGCCCUAACGGGUAGAUCUCCCACCCUAUGUUAUCAUCACUUUGUUGCUUUGGCGGGCCGUCAGGCCUCGGCUUGGCUACCGGCUCUCGCUGGUAAGCGCCCGCCAGAGAACCCCAAACCCUGAAUAUCAGUGUCGUCUGAGUACUAUAUAAUAGUUAAAACUUUCAACAACGGAUCUCUUGGUUCUG
rnacentral:misc_RNA from 1 species